UCCCUGGUGGCUCAGACAGUAAAGAAUCUGCCUGAAAUGCAGGAGACCCAGGUUUGAUCCCUGGGUUGGGAA
rnacentral:tRNA from 1 species